CAUUACCGAGUUUAAACUCCCAAACCCAAUGUGAACCAUACCAAACUGUUGCCUCGGCGGGGUCACGCCCCGGGUGCGUCGCAGCCCCGGAACCAGGCGCCCGCCGGAGGGACCAACCAAACUCUUUACUGUAGUCCCCUCGCGGACGUUAUUUCUUACAGCUCUGAGCAAAAAUUCAAAAUGAAUCAAAACUUUCAACAACGGAUCUCUUGGUUCUGGCAUCGAUGAAAAACGCAGCGAAAUGCGAUAAGUAAUGUGAAUUGCAGAAUUCAUUGAAUCAUCGAAUCUUUGAACGCACAUUGCGCCCGCCAGUAUUCUGGAAGGGCAUGCCUGUCCGAGCGUCAUUUCAACCCUCGAACCCCUCCGGGGGGUCGGCGUUGGGGAUCGGGAACCCCUCAGACGGGAUCCCGGCCCCGAAAUACAGUGGCGGUCUCGCCGCAGCCUCUCCUGCGCAGUAGUUUGCACAACUCGCACCGGGAGCGCGGCGCGUCCACGUCCGUAAAACACCCAACUUCUGAAAUGUUGACCUCGGAUCAGGUAGGAAUACCCGCUGAACUUAAGCAUAUCAAUAA
rnacentral:rRNA from 1 species